rnacentral:rRNA from 1 species
UACGUAGGGGGCUAGCGUUGUCCGGAAUCAUUGGGCGUAAAGAGCGCGUAGGCGGCCAGAUAAGUCCGGUGUGAAAGUCACAGGCUCAACCUGUGAAUGCCGCUGGAAACUGUCUGGCUAGAGUCCGGAAGGGGCGAGUGGAAUUCCCGGUGUAGUGGUGGAAUGCGUAGAUAUCGGGAGGAACACCAGUGGCGAAGGCGGUUGCCUGGAGCUUUGCUGACGCUGAGGCGCGAAAGCGUGGGGAGCGAUCCGG